CCUACGGGAGGCAGCAGUGAGGAAUAUUGGUCAAUGGCCGAGAGGCUGAACCAGCCAAGUCGCGUGAGGGAAGACGGCCCUACGGGUUGUAAACCUCUUUUGUCGGGGAGCAAAGCGAACCACGUGUGGCUCAUUGAGAGUACCCGAAGAAAAAGCAUCGGCUAACUCCGUGCCAGCAGCCGCGGUAAUACGGAGGAUGCGAGCGUUAUCCGGAGUUAUUGGGGUUAAAGGGUGCGCAGGCGGAGGUGCAAGUCAGCGGUAAAAUUGCGGGGCUCAACCCCGUACUGCCGUUGAAACUGCAUCCUUUGAGUGCGCGAGAAGUAUGCGGAAUGCGUUGUGUAGCGGUGAAAUGCAUAGAUAUCACGCAGAACUCCGAUUGCGAAGGCAGCAUACCGGCGCGCAACUGACGCUCAUGCACGAAAGCGUGGGUAUCGAACAGGAUUAGAUACCCGUGUAGUC
rnacentral:rRNA from 1 species